UACAGAGGGAGCUAGCAUUAUUCGGAAUUAUUGGGCGUAAAGCGUGUGUAGGCGGUAUAGCAAGUCAGAAGUGAAAUCCCAAGGCUUAACCUUGGAACUGCUUUUGAAACUGCUAAACUAGAGUUUAGUAGGGGGUAAUGGAAUUUCUAGUGUAGAGGUGAAAUUCUUAAAUAUUAGAAGGAACAUCAAAAGCGAAAGCAAUUACCUAGACUAACACAGACGCUGAGACACGAAAGCGUGGGGAGCAAACAGG
rnacentral:rRNA from 1 species